UAAUUCGAUUGUAACAAAGCACGCGAGCUCAACCAAAAACUAUGCCCUCGUAGCCGUAGAUGCCCCGGACGUUGGGAGCUGUUGUUUCGUUCUGGCAUUCAGUCAUUUUCUCUUUCUUUAGCCAUUCUUGAUCUGUAGGACGCUCACUAGAGCUCUUCCAAACGCUUGAUUUUCGGAAAAUUUAUUUGCGAAGGUCGUCACUCCUCUUUGACGCUUCAUGGCUCCCUUCAAGAGCAUUCUCUCCCUUCCUAGGGUGGCUCUAGUCCGUCGCUCCAGUGAGAAGUGGGACUCAAUCUGCAGAUCAUUCAGUACUCAAUUUGCAACUACCUCAAGCACUCCACAACCUCCACCUCCACCCCCACCUCCUGAGAAAACCCAUUUCGGCGGCCUGAAAGAUGAGGACCGCAUCUUCACAAACCUCUAUGGGUUGCAUGACCCAUUCCUGAAGGGUGCUAUGAAGCGAGGUGACUGGUACAGAACCAAAGAUUUGGUGCUUAAGGGCUCCGAUUGGAUUGUAAAUGAGAUGAAGAAAUCUGGUCUCCGUGGCCGUGGUGGAGCCGGUUUUCCAUCUGGCCUCAAGUGGUCUUUCAUGCCGAAGGUGUCUGAUGGCCGCCCUUCUUAUCUUGUUGUGAAUGCUGAUGAGAGUGAACCAGGAACAUGCAAGGACAGGGAAAUAAUGCGCCAUGACCCACAUAAAUUACUUGAAGGUUGCCUGAUUGCGGGUGUAGGUAUGCGGGCUACUGCUGCUUAUAUCUAUAUAAGGGGAGAAUAUGUAAAUGAGCGUAAAAACCUUGAGAAAGCAAGGAAAGAAGCUUAUCAAGCUGGAUUGUUGGGAAAGAAUGCAUGUGGGUCUGGCUAUGAUUUUGAUGUUUAUAUCCACUAUGGAGCUGGGGCUUACAUUUGUGGUGAAGAGACAGCAUUGUUGGAGAGCCUUGAAGGAAAACAAGGGAAGCCGAGGUUGAAACCUCCUUUCCCAGCUAAUGCAGGGCUAUAUGGUUGUCCAACAACGGUUACAAAUGUGGAAACUGUGGCUGUUUCUCCAACCAUUUUGAGGCGGGGACCUGAAUGGUUUGCUAGUUUUGGUAGGAAGAACAAUUCUGGGACAAAGCUAUUCUGUAUCUCAGGUCAUGUGAAUAAGCCUUGUACUGUUGAAGAGGAGAUGAGCAUUCCAUUGAAAGAAUUGAUAGAGAGGCACUGUGGAGGGGUUAGAGGUGGAUGGGACAAUCUGCUUGCAGUGAUACCAGGGGGUUCUUCUGUUCCAUUGAUUCCUAAGCACAUAUGUGAUGAUGUAUUGAUGGAUUAUGAUGCACUCAAGGCUGUUCAAUCAGGUUUAGGGACAGCUGCUGUUAUCGUGAUGGACAAGUCAACUGAUGUUGUGAAUGCAAUUGCUCGGCUCUCUUACUUCUACAAGCACGAAAGCUGUGGGCAGUGCACACCCUGCAGGGAGGGAACAGGAUGGCUGUGGAUGAUCAUGGAGAGGCUGAAAGUUGGGAAUGCAAAGCUGGAGGAAAUAGACAUGCUUCAAGAGAUCACAAAGCAGAUUGAGGGACACACUAUCUGUGCAUUGGGUGAUGCUGCUGCUUGGCCUGUGCAGGGUCUUAUCAGACAUUUCAGACCAGAACUGGAAAGGAGGAUCCGGGAGCGUGCAGAAAGGGAGUUGCUGGAAGCUGCUGCGGCUUGAAUUAUUCACUGAGCUAUUUUCUCCCUCAAGUUGAUCUCGUAAUGUAAACAUCUAAAAGCACGAGUCUAGGGAAGUAAUAGAUGUGUCGGACACUGGAAUAAAGUUGAAAGAAACCGUUCUUUCAAGAAAAAGUUAAUGUAGAUUUCUGAAUAUUUGAAGAUACCGAUAUUAUGCUGGAUGAUUCAUCUAAAUCUUAGCUGUGAUUGUGUUUAUUAUAUCUCAAAGCUGGGAGCUACAUUUGAUCUGCGCUAGCUGAGAAUUAACCAGUGAUCUCAUUUCUUGUUUGAGUAUUAACCACCUGAACCUGGUAAAUAGGAGGGUUUGAAAAUGAAUGUAACAACAUUUUGAAAACCUUGGUACAUUUUGUGUCUUCUCCCUGUAAUAAAAUCGUCUUAGCUCCAGUAUUCGAACCAA